rnacentral:tRNA from 1 species
GAGGAGGUGGCCGAGUGGUCCAAGGCGCCGCAAACAAUUCUGUUUACUUUGAUUCCUCUUGGAUUCAAAUUCUGUGGUCUGCUCUCCGAGCAGUCGAGGGUUCGAAUCCCUCCCUCUUCC